ensembl:lncRNA
AUGCCACUGCAGUCCAGAUUACUCUCGCAGAUAGAUGUGCUAUCUGACAAACUAAUAAAGGUCUUCAAAAGGCGAGGAGGACAAAUAGGAAGAAGACUUCAGAACAUUCUGGAGCCCACGGCCCAGGCCACAGAUGAAGCCAUUAUCCAACGAUCUAAUAAGGAAACAACCAUGGGAAUUUACAUCAUAAAGUCAAGAGAUGCCAAUGGCAGCCCUGAGGACAUCGGGAUAGUCCUUGAAGGCCAGAGAGUCUAGCAGGAUUUGGAUAACUAUACCCUAGCAGCUGCAAUGCUGUUUGGACUAAUAUACACUUUGAACCUCACCUACCCACUGGAAAAGUAUACCUUCGAGGUAUUAUAGAAACUGGUUAUGGAGCUCAAAAGGAACAGCCUUUCGAAGAAGGCCCAGGUUUUCAGGACCAGACUGUACGAUUGAACAGUUUUCCAGUUAUGAUGUGGGAACAACAUGUUUACCUCUUCGAAUAUGUACCAUCCUUUCUUUUAAGCCAGCACUGGUAAAGUUGCAGUACAUAGUGAAACUUAUUUUUCUGGCACUUUUCAACUGGGGCCUUUAUUACUGCAGUGUUCAGUGUUCACUUUUCAAGCCAUGGCUCUUUUGAAAAAAAAUUCAAACUUUGAAUGUCCAUUUUUCUCAAUGGAAAUGGUGCCUUGCACCAAUUUCACCAGUUUGCAAUUUCUUUCCCAAGGUGCACCACUACAAACAGAUUGCAUGGUCUAGUAUUAGUGAUUGUGAUGUUUAGUGAUAGAAGCAAGCCAAUACUAAUCAGUUUAGGUCUCUUGGUUUUGUGCCUGUGGGUUAUAAUGUUAUUUUAAGUCUCUUCUUUGUGUCAUUUUAAUAAUUACACCCCUGUUGCCAUAUUACCUUAUGGCUCUUACAUUUAAAAAACUAUUUUUUACAUAAGCGUGAUGUCAUAAGGCCCCACAAUGUUGAAUCCAGGUUACAGCAGAUAACUUUGAGGAAUGUUGUGGAAUGUUUUUCAAGAGAUGCAUUGUACAAAUAUGACUCAUGUAUAUUUUGGAAGCCUGAAUUGAAAGUCCAUUGUUACAACUGUGUAGUAUUUUCAAAAAUACAGGUCAUUGUUCAAAAAUGUUUUGCUUUUUUCUUUGAAAAGUGUACAGUACAUACAGUAAGAUCAGCCUUAAUUUAGUUUUAUUUAUUGAACACUCAAUUAUAUAUUAGAUUAUAUAUUAUAUAUUAGAAAUUUGUUAUAAAAUAAAAUAAGCUUACCAUAAAAUAAUCUUGUCAAUAUAACACAUAGUAGUCCAAUACAAUUAACACAAAAAGUUCAUGUCUGAUAAACAAGUGGUUUCUAUAAAUAUUUGACCGGAAUGAAAAACAUAACAACAACAUAAAAAAGUCAUGUUCAUGUUACCAGAAAAAUGUGUGCAGGUAUAACAUAAAAAACUAAGGUUAACCAAACAUAACUUAAUUUCGUGCAACCGCUUACAAUAAUUUUUUUAUGUUUAUCCCACUGAUUAUUUUUUUCAGUGCACUUUGAUUAGUUGAGUAUCUGAGGCUGAGACCACGGGACUGUAAAAACAUGAUUGUUGGGCUUCAUUUCUGUACUGAACAGUCAUGUCAAGAUUAGUUAGUAAAUAACAAUUAGCUAAUGUUGUUCAUGAGACUAAAGUCAUCACUGUAGUAAUGUAAAUAUAAGAUAGCCAAUAUUAUAGUUAUUGUCAGAUUAUUAGGAUAUAUUAAAGGUCAUCUUAUCUUAUUCACUGGGGUUCAGUAAAGAUUCAAGUUGUAUUUAUUCAAAUUUCAAAUCACCUUAAAUGUCUGUGAAGGUUCUCAGUCAUCCAGGUCAUCGUAGUCAAAGGAAUUUGCAAAGAAAAGCGUCUGGACUUCUUUAAGUUGCUUGAAGACGUUUCACCUCUCAUCCGAGAAGCUUCUUCAGUUCUAAGGUCAAAUGGCCGAGAGUCCCAAAUUUAAACGCAGUGGGAGUAUCCCCCCAAAGAGGGACAAAGGACCCCCUGGUGAUCCUCUAAUCACAUGAGCCAAGGUGUGAAAGCACCCGCUUUCACACCUUGGCUCAUUCUAUCAGAUAACUGUUUCUGAUAGAAUGAAGAUCAGACUGAUAUAUGAAAUAUUCCUUUAUUGGGUGAGAAAAUCAGACCAUGUCAUAACUGCUUUAAGUCAUACAGAAUAGAUAUCAGAGCCUUAAACAGGCUGACUUCUGCUAAAUGGGUCAAACUGGGCAGAAAGUAUACAAACACAUAACAUCCUUAUAGAAUAUGAUGUAACUCUAUAGAUCAACUUACCUCAGAAUAUAUAAAGCAUAUAAACAAUUACAGCAAUAUGAUGCAACAAACACAGCAGUGCUACUAAUCCAAAAUACUCAAAGCUUCAUAGAACUGAAACAAACAUUUAUUUUUAGCUCCAUUCUGCUGCUGAUACAUACUUUAGGUUUCUGAAUAUUAAACUUGUUGCUGCCUUUCAUAGUGUGUAACUUGAAGGCCCUGAGUACUUUCUCCCACACUGAAAACACUGGGAUGAUAACAUUAUUUGAACAUUUCCUAAUAAGACUGAUUCAGGACAGACAAUUAGUUAUGUUAAACUUUCUAGCAGUCCUUCACAAACAGGGAACAGUCUGUCUAUUCUCUCCAUCUGUCAGCUGCUGCUGGCUCUUCCUCCUCCUCUUCCUCACACACUGCUGAGUUUGUCCUGGUGGAUCAUC